rnacentral:rRNA from 1 species
UACGUAGGGUGCGAGCGUUGUCCGGAAUUAUUGGGCGUAAAGCGCGCGUAGGCGGUUACUUAAGUCGGAUGUGAAAGCCCUCGGCUUAACUGAGGAAGUGCACCCGAAACUGAGUGGCUAGAGUACUAAAGAGGGUCGCGGAAUUCCCGGUGUAGAGGUGAAAUUCGUAGAUAUCGGGAGGAACACCGGUGGCGAAGGCGGCGACCUGGGUAGAUACUGACGCUGAGGCGCGAAAGCGUGGGGAGCAAACAGG